AUUUUUAUUUUCAGGGAACCAAGUUUCAUCUGAAAUCCAACUUAAGUUGGUACUCGGCUCUGUAAAGUUUGCAGGAGCACAACAUUGUAUACUUAGAAAUCCUGCUCGAAAUCACAUUCCUAGAGAUAUGCUACAAUAGCUGGCUACGAGUUGCUGUUGUAAUGAUUUGUGUAGGCCGUGUGUUUGAUAUAUCGGUGCUUCGUAAGGCAGGUAAGUUUAUUUCACCGAUCUGCUUGUCACUCUUUUCUUUUUUGAGUCAAUGCGAUCCGUUUAUUCUGUGUCUUAAUUUAUAGGCCUGCAGUUUUGCAGCACUCAUAUUUUAUUUUAUUUGUGGAGCAGUCAAACAGAGCUUUAUAUGAUUGUUUGAGAUGGUAUAAGCAGGACCAGACAGAUGACCAUCAACCUUGUGUUCGAGCAGUUCACCACUUCCAUCAUCCUAUUCUCAUGGAACAAAAUUGCCCCAUCAGGUCAGUCAGCUCAAAAUCUGGCUAUGGCUAUCUCAUUUAAC